rnacentral:rRNA from 1 species
UACGUAGGGUGCAAGCGUUAUUCGGAAUUACUGGGCGUAAAGCGUGCGCAGGCGGUUUUGUAAGUUUGGCGUGAAAGCCCCGGGCUCAACCUGGGAAUUGCGAUGAAGACUGCAAGGCUUGAAUCUGGCAGAGGGGGGUAGAAUUCCACGUGUAGCAGUGAAAUGCGUAGAGAUGUGGAGGAACACCGAUGGCGAAGGCAGCCCCCUGGGUCAAGAUUGACGCUCAUGCACGAAAGCGUGGGGAGCAAACAGG